CCAGGACUCAGAGUCCAGGAAGUGGGUGUUGUCAAUGAAAAAUAUACCAACUUCCCCUCUAAGUACCUGAAAAAAGCAGGUGGUUCUGAGUGGAAUCUGGUGGAUUCUCGAGUGUCUUCUGGGGAGGACACGUAGCCUUUCUCUCCUUAGGACAAGGGGAUACUCAGAAGCCUCUCCUCAGCCACCUCCCUCUCCAGGAGUUUACCAAAUUUGUUUCUGCGAGACCGUAAAGUCUCCUCUAACAUCAGUUCCCCAGCAGAAGGAGGGAACUUGGGCAAAGUACUGUCCAGAAGACACCCCUCUCAGGUGAGAAGGGCCAUGACCCAGGUGCAUCGCCCUGCCAUCCCUCAAGCAGCUCCAGCGCGGAGCCCGCAGCCAGCCAGCACAGUUGUUUGGCUCCUCUGAGACAGGAGGAAGGAGACAUGCUCAUCUGUAGCACUCGUGUACAAGUCAGGUGGAACGCACUGGCCCGUUCAAGCGCAACACAUCUUGCAAACCUUGUCUGUGAUGGGAAACUGUCCAGGAAAGACAGAGAGGAACAUUGCUGAGGGUCUGGGCAUACCUAUCCCCCAGAGCAAGACUGCAGAGCAAAAUGCCUCUGAUUUUGCAUGCGGCCAGCACCAGCCCCUCUUCAAUGCCAUUUCCAGGGUGCUGAACAAGACACAGGGCACAUGCAUGGCACAGGAGCACCCCACGCACAGGAAGACUCCUGGGCACAGGAAUCAGAGAGGUGGGGUACGAGCCCCGCAAAUCCCAGCCCUGAGCUGAGCCGCUCGCAGCAGAGCAUCCCAGCAGGUCAGCCUCUCACUCUCACCUCAACUAAGAAAACAUCGUUGAGCAGGCAAUAGCUGCUCUCUUCUGUUGUGCCUUCGAGCGUGGUCUGCAGAGUGCGCUGCCUGUCACUGCAAGUCUCACCAGCCUGGAGACCCAGCUCCCUGGCCACCAGCAGAUGGAUGGCAGAGAAGGAUUGCUUCAGGUUCUCCUCUGUCAGUUCCACAGCGAUGAUUGCGGUGCAAAAGCAGAAGGCACUGAGAUCCAGAAUUGCCUCCCGGUAGCUCAAGCUUGCCUGGACAGCAGUGUUCGAUGGGUGAGCUGCCUGGUUCUUUCUGCAGAGGAAAGUGAGACUCUUCAGCCAUACACCUCCAAGUGCUUCUUGGAGAGGACCAAGCUUUCCACUCAUCGUAUAAGAAAGAGCCCCCAGGGAAGGCUGCAGGCCAGUCACUGGGAGGACUGACCAUGGCCCCUGCACCUCCGCAGCCCCAGCCAGGGUCACACUACACAUCCCCUGCAGAGGCACUCAGUGGGUUAAGAAGGAAGGCCUCAGAAGGUGGUGGGUCUGCAUCUGCCACCCAGCCCACAGCAAGACUUUUCUGCCCCAGCACUCCUUCUGGAGAACAGCCAGAGGGCAAACAGCACUUCUGAGAUGGGCCACCUUGCUUCCCCUCAGCUCCACAGCUGGAGCUCUUUCUGUCUCUUUCUGCUUGGCCCGGGGACAAAGGAGGAAUGCAGUGGUUCACAGAGCCAGCUGGAACUCUCUGAGGAGGCGGGUGCUGCUCGGAAGGGUCCGCAGCAGGCUUUUUUGGGAAGCUGCAGUGCAAGGGCUGGGCAGAGCGGCACCUUGACUGCACUGUUCCACAAACAGGUCGAGGGGCUGGGCUCAGGCCUUGUUCCUGGCCCCAUCGCCCAGAGGAGCCUGCCUCUGGCACCGAGGAGCUCCAUGCCCUGGUGAGGGCUCGCUCCAUCACGGUGACUGGCAGGUGGCACUUGGGGGGACUGUACCUGGCUGCCGUGGUUGUGCGUAGGCAAGGCUCUUCUCAGCUAACUGAGAACAUCUCUGCAUUCUUCCCCCGGCCAGCACGCUGCAAAACACAGGACCACUCUGCUGUGCUGUGGUGUUUGAAGAAACAGUUCAGGUACAGAAACACAGUUCAGGUAAAGAAGGAGAUCGGGGCCAUGGCUGCGUUCGUUGAGGUGGGCCUAGAAGCAAGUGGUGCCUCCUGGAGGUGCCUUUGAAACCUCAGGGUCUCUGGCAGAGUGGGGAGGGUCAGGUUGCACGUCGACAGAGCAGAGCUGGUGCCUGCACUCUCAUCCCAGUCACCCUGGCUUGGGGGCACCCCUGCAUUUUUCCCCACGAGGCUGAGCCCCUGCGAGAGGCGGCCGUCAGGUUCAUUGGUGAGCCACAAGCCCUGGCCCUUCUGUGCCCCACAUCACCUUGGCCCCAGCACCGGCUGCUGCUGGCUGAGCCACAUGCCCAUGGAGCCACGCCAGCCCAAGGAGGGGCUGGGGCCCUCAUGGGUCUCCCUGCUGCCCUCUGCCAGCCCUGUCCGCGCAGCAGGUACCAGUGGGAGCCUUACUGGGUGUCUCGAAGCCUCCUUGGGUGCUGCCAUCGCAGCCCUGAGAAGUUUGGAGCGCACCAGCAGCUCUUCUUUUUCCACCCUGGUGGCUGAAACCGUCCAGCUCCUGAGAACAUCCCCUGGAUUCAGCCUGCAAGCUCUUUGCUACCGGCUCAGCAGCGUGGGGGAGAAGAGGCUGCACUCCCUAAGAGCUGGCUGGCUGCGCUGCUGCAGCUGUGCUCAGGGCUGACCCCAGCUGGUGCAACUUGAGGCCCUUCACAAGCCUUGCUGCCCUUCUUUGGACCUGCAAUAGGGAAGCUUUUGUAUUUACUAUAUUUACAUCUAUUUAUUGAUACAAAAUAAACAUUGUAUUAUUGAUGCAGUGUAGGUACCACGCAGUGAUUUAACACUUUCAUUGAGUCACGAGGCUGCUUUCUAAACUACUUGAACCACGGGGGCAAGGAGCCUCGAGGUCUGGCUGAAUCCACUCCUCCUUGCAGAGCUGGUCAACAGUUUAUGUCU
ensembl:lncRNA